rnacentral:misc_RNA from 1 species
AAGUCGUAACAAGGUUUCCGUAGGUGAACCUGCGGAAGGAUCAUUAAAAGUGAUUGGUUAUACAUUUCAUGUAUCAACUGCAUUAACCAUCCUGCAGUACCUUGCCUGUUGCUUCCAUGGGGCCUGGCACCUCAGGUGCACUCUUGUGAUGUGAAACCCAAGAGAGUCCCAUGGAGGUAAGUCAUUAAAUUCAUGUAUCCAAUGUCUUCUGUCUGAACUGUUUAUAACAAAUGUUAAAA